rnacentral:rRNA from 1 species
AUUUCAUAACUCAAAAUGAAUUAACGGGGGCCCGCACAAGCGGUGGAGCAUGUGGUUUAUUUAGAUGCAACGCGAAAAACCUUACCUAGCCUAACAUCCAAUGAACCUUUCAGAGAUAGAUAAGUGCCUUCGGGAACAUAAGACAGGUGUUGCAUGGCUGUCGUCAGAUCGUGUCGUGAAAUGUUAGGAUAAGUCCCACACUAGCGCAACCCUUAUCCUUUGUUACCAGCACGUUAUGGUGGGAACUCUAAGGAGAUUGCCGGUGACAAACCGGAGGAAGGUGGGGAUGAUGUCAAGUCAUCAUGGCCCUUACGCCUAGGGCUACAUACGUGCUACAAAGUCGGUACAGAGAGUAUCCAAGCCGCGAGAUCGAGCUAAACCCCCACAUGUCCAUCUAGUCCGGAAGGGAGUAUGCAACCCGGUUGCACGAAGUCGGAAUCUCCAGGCUCCGUGAACACAGAAGGGCCAACCCUUCUUUC